GGCUACAGAACGAAACUAAAUAUAAAGAUACCCCAGGUACGGAACCGCCCUGAGGAGUACAGUAAAGAAUGAACAGUAUUUUUUAUUUUAUUUUUAGGAAGUGUUCGACGAGGUUAAGCAGGAUAACCGGCGUCGAUUUAAGGAAACUCCUGUCCACCCGAACAUGGAAGUUCCCUGGGUUCAACAACUUUUUGAAGGUCUCAUGUGUAAGCACCAUGUGGCAUAAUAAUAUAUAUAUAUAUAUAUAUAUAUUUUAUUAUGGUAUAUGGUAUAUAUAUAUAUGUAUGUAUGUACACAGAUUUAUUUCGUUAUUGGGGGUGCAUAGUUGCGAAAUG
rnacentral:lncRNA from 1 species